CCGUUCAUUGUGCCUCUGUAGCGCAUUGGACUUCUAAUCCAAAGGUCGUGGAUUCGAAUCCCACCUGGAAUGGU